rnacentral:rRNA from 2 species
GGUCAAGUGAAGAAGCGCAUACGGUGGAUGCCUUGGCAGUCAGAGGCGAUGAAAGACGUGGUAGCCUGCGAAAAGCUUCGGGGAGUCGGCAAACAGACUUUGAUCCGGAGAUGUCUGAAUGGGGGAACCCAGCCAUCAUAAGAUGGUUACCUUACACUGAAUACAUAGGUGUAUGGAGCGAACCAGGGGAACUGAAACAUCUAAGUACCCUGAGGAAAAGAAAUCAACCGAGAUUCCCUUAGUAGUGGCGAGCGAACGGGGACUAGCCCUUAAGUGGCUUUGAGAUUAGCGGAACGCUCUGGAAAGUGCGGCCAUAGUGGGUGAUAGCCCUGUACGCGAAAAUCUCUUAGUCAUGAAAUCGAGUAGGACGGAGCACGAGAAACUUUGUCUGAAUAUGGGGGGACCAUCCUCCAAGGCUAAAUACUACUGACUGACCGAUAGUGAACUAGUACCGUGAGGGAAAGGCGAAAAGAACCCCGGAGAGGGGAGUGAAAUAGAUCCUGAAACCGUAUGCGUACAAGCAGUGGGAGCCCACUUUGUUGGGUGACUGCGUACCUUUUGUAUAAUGGGUCAGCGACUUAUUUUCAGUGGCGAGCUUAACCGAAUAGGGGAGGCGUAGCGAAAGCGAGUCUUAAUAGGGCGUCUAGUCGCUGGGAAUAGACCCGAAACCGGGCGAUCUAUCCAUGGGCAGGUUGAAGGUUGGGUAACACUAACUGGAGGACCGAACCGACUACCGUUGAAAAGUUAGCGGAUGACCUGUGGAUCGGAGUGAAAGGCUAAUCAAGCUCGGAGAUAGCUGGUUCUCCUCGAAAGCUAUUUAGGUAGCGCCUCAUGUAUCACUGUAGGGGGUAGAGCACUGUUUCGGCUAGGGGGUCAUCCCGACUUACCAAACCGAUGCAAACUCCGAAUACCUACAAGUGCCGAGCAUGGGAGACACACGGCGGGUGCUAACGUCCGUCGUGAAAAGGGAAACAACCCAGACCGUCAGCUAAGGUCCCAAAGUUAUGGUUAAGUGGGAAACGAUGUGGGAAGGCUUAGACAGCUAGGAGGUUGGCUUAGAAGCAGCCACCCUUUAAAGAAAGCGUAAUAGCUCACUAGUCGAGUCGGCCUGCGCGGAAGAUGUAACGGGGCUCAAACCAUACACCGAAGCUACGGGUAUCACGUAAGUGAUGCGGUAGAGGAGCGUUCUGUAAGCCUGUGAAGGUGAGUUGAGAAGCUUGCUGGAGGUAUCAGAAGUGCGAAUGCUGACAUGAGUAACGACAAUGGGUGUGAAAAACACCCACGCCGAAAGACCAAGGUUUCCUGCGCAACGUUAAUCGACGCAGGGUUAGUCGGUCCCUAAGGCGAGGCUGAAAAGCGUAGUCGAUGGAAAACAGGUUAAUAUUCCUGUACUUCUGGUUAUUGCGAUGGAGGGACGGAGAAGGCUAGGCCAGCUUGGCGUUGGUUGUCCAAGUUUAAGGUGGUAGGCUGGAAUCUUAGGUAAAUCCGGGAUUCUAAGGCCGAGAGCUGAUGACGAGUCGUCUUUUAGACGACGAAGUGGUUGAUGCCAUGCUUCCAAGAAAAGCUUCUAAGCUUCAGGUAACCAGGAACCGUACCCCAAACCGACACAGGUGGUUGGGUAGAGAAUACCAAGGCGCUUGAGAGAACUCGGGUGAAGGAACUAGGCAAAAUGGCACCGUAACUUCGGGAGAAGGUGCGCCGGUGAGGGUGAAGGACUUGCUCCGUAAGCUCAUGCCGGUCGAAGAUACCAGGCCGCUGCGACUGUUUAUUAAAAACACAGCACUCUGCAAACACGAAAGUGGACGUAUAGGGUGUGACGCCUGCCCGGUGCCGGAAGGUUAAUUGAUGGGGUUAGCUAACGCGAAGCUCUUGAUCGAAGCCCCGGUAAACGGCGGCCGUAACUAUAACGGUCCUAAGGUAGCGAAAUUCCUUGUCGGGUAAGUUCCGACCUGCACGAAUGGCGUAACGAUGGCGGCGCUGUCUCCACCCGAGACUCAGUGAAAUUGAAAUCGCUGUGAAGAUGCAGUGUAUCCGCGGCUAGACGGAAAGACCCCGUGAACCUUUACUAUAGCUUUGCACUGGACUUUGAAUUUGCUUGUGUAGGAUAGGUGGGAGGCUUUGAAGCGUGGACGCCAGUCUGCGUGGAGCCAACCUUGAAAUACCACCCUGGCAACUUUGAGGUUCUAACUCAGGUCCGUUAUCCGGAUCGAGGACAGUGUAUGGUGGGUAGUUUGACUGGGGCGGUCUCCUCCUAAAGAGUAACGGAGGAGUACGAAGGUGCGCUCAGACCGGUCGGAAAUCGGUCGUAGAGUAUAAAGGCAAAAGCGCGCUUGACUGCGAGACAGACACGUCGAGCAGGUACGAAAGUAGGUCUUAGUGAUCCGGUGGUUCUGUAUGGAAGGGCCAUCGCUCAACGGAUAAAAGGUACUCCGGGGAUAACAGGCUGAUACCGCCCAAGAGUUCAUAUCGACGGCGGUGUUUGGCACCUCGAUGUCGGCUCAUCACAUCCUGGGGCUGAAGCCGGUCCCAAGGGUAUGGCUGUUCGCCAUUUAAAGUGGUACGCGAGCUGGGUUUAGAACGUCGUGAGACAGUUCGGUCCCUAUCUGCCGUGGACGUUUGAGAUUUGAGAGGGGCUGCUCCUAGUACGAGAGGACCGGAGUGGACGAACCUCUGGUGUUCCGGUUGUCACGCCAGUGGCAUUGCCGGGUAGCUAUGUUCGGAAUAGAUAACCGCUGAAAGCAUCUAAGCGGGAAACUAGCCUCAAGAUGAGAUCUCACUGGAACCUUGAGUUCCCUGAAGGGCCGUCGAAGACUACGACGUUGAUAGGUUGGGUGUGUAAGCGCUGUGAGGCGUUGAGCUAACCAAUACUAAUUGCCCGUGAGGCUUGACCAUAU